CAGACUGAAGAAGGUAUACUAUUAGGGAACAUUUGCAGAAAAGAAUUCCACAUCUUUUUUUUGAGACAGAGUUUUGCUGUCACCCAGGCUGGAGUGCAGCAGAGCGAGACUCCGUCUCAAAAAAAAAAAAAAAAAAAAAAAAAAGUGUAGCUACUAUUAUAAUCCUGUGAAAAUAAUCAACAUAAAAUUAAAAAUCAAUAGACAGCCCAUAUUGCCCUUUUUUGGCCUAACAAAAAACAGAUUUCUAAGAAGACAGUAAGAAAUCAGUAUUAAUUUAAACAUUGUACAGGACAGGAGAUCAAAAGCACAGGUAUACAAAUGGUUCAUUUAAAAAAACUGAUACUCAAAUUGACACCCUGAAAAUGUCAGAUAAUUUUUCAGAAUGAUUAAACUCACUAAACAUCUGUAAACAAUAAAUUUAUUUCAUUUCUUUUAAAGAUUUAAUGAUAUACAAAACGUAUAUAAUAUCUUUAAGUAAUACACUUUUUCUUUCUCCCCACCCCCAAUCAAUAUUAAACACUAUUUAAACAGCUUAUCAUCUCUUGCCUUGUCUGUAUCUAUGAGAUACACUACUAAAUACAAAUAAGCUUUAUACUGCUCCCUUCCAAAU
rnacentral:antisense_RNA from 1 species